GACGAACGCUGGCGGCGUGCUUAACACAUGCAAGUCGAACGGAAUGUCCCUGCUUUUGUGGGGUGCUCGAGUGGCGAACGGGUGAGUAACACGUGAGUUACCUGCCUUUGACUUUGGGCUAUCUUCAAGAAACUUUGGCUCAUACCGGUAAGUAGCUUCUGCUGCAUUGUUGGGGAUAGAAAGUGUCGGCGGUGGAGGAUGGGCUCGCGGCUGAUCAGCUUGUUGGUGAGGUGGUGGCUUACCAAGGCUUUGAUGGGUAGCCGGCCUGAGAGGGGGACCGGCCACAGUGGGACUGAGAUACGGCACAGACUCCUAAGGGAGGCAGCAGUGUGGAAUAUUGCACGAUGGGCGGAAGCCUGAUGCAGCACCGCCGCGUGCGGGAUGACGGCCUUCGGGUUGUAAACCGCUUUCGCACGUGACGAAGAGUGGGUGACGGUAAUGGGUAAAGAAGCACCGGCUAACUACGUG
rnacentral:rRNA from 1 species